GCAGUAGGGAAUUUUCCGCAAUGGGCGAAAGCCUGACGGAGCAAUACCGCGUGAGGGAUGACGGCCUGUGGGUUGUAAACCUCUUUUCUCAAGGAAGAAGUUCUGACGGUACUUGAGGAAUAAGCAUCGGCUAACUCUGUGCCAGCAGCCGCGGUAAUACAGAGGAUGCAAGCGUUAUCCGGAAUCACUGGGCAUAAAGCGUCUGUAGGUGGUUUGGUAAGUCUGCUGUUAAAGACUGGGGCUCAACCCCAGAAAAGCAGUGGAAACUGCUAGACUUGAGUGUGGUAGAGGUAGAGGGAAUUCCUAGUGUAGCGGUGAAAUGCGUAGAUAUUAGGAAGAACACCAAUGGCGAAGGCACUCUACUGGGCCAUAACUGACACUGAGAGACGACAGCUAGGGGAGCAAAUGGGAUUAGAUACCCCAGUAGUCCUAGCCGUAAACGAUGGAUACUAGAUGUUGCACGUAUUAACCCGUGCAGUAUCGUAGCUAAGGCGUUAAGUAUCCCGCCUGGGAAGUACGCUCGCAAGAGUGAAACUCA
rnacentral:rRNA from 1 species